rnacentral:rRNA from 1 species
CAGCAGCCGCGGGAAUACGGAGGGAGCUAGCGUUGUUCGGAAUUACUGGGCGUAAAGCGCACGUAGGCGGUUAUUCAAGUCAGGGGUGAAAGCCCGGGGCUCAACCCCGGAACUGCCUUUGAAACUAGAUGACUAGAAUCUUGGAGAGGUCAGUGGAAUUCCGAGUGUAGAGGUGAAAUUCGUAGAUAUUCGGAAGAACACCAGUGGCGAAGGCGACUGACUGGACAAGUAUUGACGCUGAGGUGCGAAAGCGUCGGGAGCGAACAGGAUUAGAUACCCCAGUAGUCCCUGUCUCUUAUAU